AGAAACAUAUAUCCGUAUCAUGACAAAUCAUUAGUAAAGAUAAUAAAGUAGCUAUAACAAAAAAUUUUUCAAUUAAAUAUCUUUUUUCACCCUAUUUUAUUGUUUGGUCGUCAUUGGUCGAGAGAAAGGUGCAUAAAAUGCAUGAAUUUUAUAUGUUGGGCUCUUGGAGAUCGUGUGGGUUAUUUGUAAAGAAAUCAAAAGUUUCAAUUUUCCCUUCAAAUGAUGAUUCUAGUGUAACUAAUAGGGAUCUAGGUUAACAGACUUAACUUACGUUGGUCUGCCACCUCGGUUGUAGUAAUAUACCGCUAUAUGUAUUGUUUUUUGAUUUAGUGGAGUUGGAGGUAUCAUUCAUGAUGCCCAUGCUAAUUUGCUUAAAUGAACAUAAGCUCCUUCUCAUCAGGAGUCAUGCUCUCAAGAAAUUUUUGGAUUUUCUAGCUUCACUAAUUAUUUGUUAAUAGUGAUAGAUUUAGUAAAAUAUGCAUUUUCCUUACC
rnacentral:lncRNA from 1 species